CCUACGGGAGGCAGCAGUGAGGAAUAUUGGUCAAUGGGCGGAAGCCUGAACCAGCCAUGCCGCGUGAAGGAAUAAGGUCCUAUGGAUCGUAAACUUCUUUUGUGCGGGAGCAAUAAGGGCUACGAGUAGUCCGAUGAGAGUACCGUACGAAUAAGCAUCGGCUAACUCCGUGCCAGCAGCCGCGGUAAU
rnacentral:rRNA from 1 species